rnacentral:rRNA from 1 species
GGGCAAGCGUUGUUCGGAAUUACUGGGCGUAAAGGGCUCGUAGGCGGCCAACUAAGUCAGACGUGAAAUCCCCAGGCUCAACCUGGGAACUGCGUCUGAUACUGGAUGGCUUGAAUCCGGGAGAGGGAUGCAGAAUUCCAGGUGUAGCGGUGAAAUGCGUAGAUAUCUGGAGGAAUACCGGUGGCGAAGGCGGCAUCCUGGACCGGCAUUGACGCUGAGGAGCGAAAGCCAGGGGAGCAAACGGG